rnacentral:misc_RNA from 1 species
UACGUAGGUGGCAAGCGUUGUUCGGAAUUACUGGGCGUAAAGCGCGCGUAGGCGGUUAGCAUAGUUAGGUGUGAAAGCCCCGGGCUCAACCCGGGAAUUGCACUUGAUACUGGCUGACUGGAGUUCGGAAGAGGAGAGUGGAAUUCCCAGUGUAGAGGUGAAAUUCGUAGAUAUUGGGAAGAACACCAGUGGCGAAGGCGGCUCUCUGGUCCGACACUGACGCUGAGGCGCGAAAGCGUGGGGAGCAAACAGG